AUUGAACGCUGGCGGCAGGCCUAACACAUGCAAGUCGAGCGGAUGAAGGGAGCUUGCUCCUGGAUUCAGCGGCGGACGGGUGAGUAAUGCCUAGGAAUCUGCCUGGUAGUGGGGGAUAACGUCCGGAAACGGGCGCUAAUACCGCAUACGUCCUGAGGGAGAAAGUGGGGGAUCUUCGGACCUCACGCUAUCAGAUGAGCCUAGGUCGGAUUAGCUAGUUGGUGGGGUAAAGGCCUACCAAGGCGACGAUCCGUAACUGGUCUGAGAGGAUGAUCAGUCACACUAGAACUGAGACACGGUCCAGACUCCUACGGGAGGCAGCAGUGGGGAAUAUUGGACAAUGGGCGAAAGCCUGAGCCAGCCAUGCCGCGUGUGUGAAGAAGGUCUUCGGAUUGUAAAGCACUUUAAGUUGGGAGGAAGGGCAGUAAGUUAAUACCUUGCUGUUUUGACGUUACCAACAGAAUAAGCACCGGCUAACUUCGUG
rnacentral:rRNA from 1 species